rnacentral:rRNA from 1 species
ACGAACGCUGGCGGCGUGCUUAACACAUGCAAGUCGAACGGUAAGGCCCUUUCGAGGGUACACGAGUGGCGAACGGGUGAGUAACACGUGGGUAAUCUGCCCUGCACUUCGGGAUAAGCCUGGGAAACCGGGUCUAAUACCGGAUAUGAGCUCCUGCCGCAUGGUGGGGGUUGGAAAGUUUUUCGGUGCAGGAUGAGUCCGCGGCCUAUCAGCUUGUUGGUGGGGUAAUGGCCUACCAAGGCGACGACGGGUAGCCG